rnacentral:sRNA from 1 species
UUCCCAAAGAGAUGGAAAGGGAGAUAAAGAUAGAGAGAGAGAUAGGAGAAAGCAUGGCUGUGUGUAUUUUUUGGAGUUAAUUAAUGGGUUAGUGCACACUGCACAGGGUGAGCUAUAUGAAUGUUGUUUUGAAACACAGAGCUUCAUCCACUCGAAUCUGCAAUGCAUAGCAGCAGGCUUGGGUUACCCUUGGUAGAGCACAAUUAAAUUUGGGGAGGCUGAUAGUGCCAUUCAAAGCUUCGACAGAGCAUUAACCAUCAAGGUUUUGCCCAAGCCAGCGAAAGAUUCAGGGGAACAGGAGCUCACACUAUUAGAGAUAAUGAAAGGUAAGUUUGAAAGUAAAAGGGAUGAAGUGGUGUCUGGUUAGAAGGAGAGAGAUCCACGGCAGUGGGCACGACCAUGGCCGCAGCCAUGAAGAGGAAAGACUGUUGGCGACAUCUAAGCUUCUCAAGGAAUUGACCGAGGAAGAUGACAUGAAAUUACAGAUUUGGAUUUCAUCAGCAUGGCCAUGAUCAUGAGCAUUUUGGUAGUCUGCAGCUCUAAGUUCUUGGAGUUUGUCAAGGAGAAAGUUUGUGAACGAAAGAAAUCUAAUCGAGAGUAACGUGCGGACGUAAUUUCUAGUGCUAUCUAUAUGACCUUAUGCUAGGUUGUGACUUCUAAGGAGAGCGUCGACAGCCAUGUCUAUUUCCAACCUUGACAUGGUUUCGUAAUUGAUUCUAACCUGAAGAACUUCUGAAAACUCAUUGAUCAAAGAUCUACAAGCAAUGUCAAGUAGCUGGCCAUCAUUGGGAUCUGGUAGAUCUGCUAUUUCAGUCUGCAGAUGUAUGAAAUUCAACAAGCAAGCUUUAAAGCUUCCAACCUGGUAGCCUUGUAACCCACAAGGUACGACCCAACGAAAAGGAGUCAAGUCUGGGUUCACAACUUCACAUUCAGUGCUAAGCCAUCAUAUGUUAUCCCCUGGUUAACUAGUAUGCCAAUGGCUGCCAGUUUCUGGUUUCCUGAAGAAAAAUUCAAAUAUAAACAUCACAGUAGAAUUCCAGCUGCCAGUUUCAAUAUCAAUGUUCUUGUUUUUUUUUUUUUUCUUUUCUAAACACGACUAAAUUAGCGAACAAGGAACCACUACUUGUAAAGGAAGCUAUGAGAGCAAAAACUCGGUACUGGCAAUGAUAAUAAGCUAUAAUACAAAAGGAAGGA